UUGGUGGGGUAGUGGCCUACCAAGGCGACGACGGGUAGCCGGCCUGAGAGGGUGACCGGCCACACUGGGACUGAGACACGGCCCAGACUCCUACGGGAGGCAGCAGUGGGGAAUAUUGCGCAAUGGGCGAAAGCCUGACGCAGCGACGCCGCGUGGGGGAUGACGGCCUUCGGGUUGUAAACCUCUUUCAGCAGGGACGAAGCGAAAGUGACGGUACCUGCAGAAGAAGCACCGGCCAACUACGUGCCAGCAGCCGCGGUAAUACGUAGGGUGCAAGCGUUGUCCGGAAUUAUUGGGCGUAAAGAGCUCGUAGGCGGUUCGUCGCGUCGGCUGUGAAACCCUGAGGCUCAACCUCAGGCCUGCAGUCGAUACGGGCGGACUUGAGUACUGCAGGGGAGACUGGAAUUCCUGGUGUAGCGGUGAAAUGCGCAGAUAUCAGGAGGAACACCGGUGGCGAAGGCGGGUCUCUGGGCAGUAACUGACGCUGAGGAGCGAAAGCGUGGGGAGCGAACAGGAUUAGAUACCCUGGUAGUCCACGCCGUAAACGUUGGGCGCUAGGUGUGGGGGCCAUUCCACGGUCUCCGUGCCGCAGCUAACGCAUUAAGCGCCCCGCCUGGGGAGUACGG
rnacentral:rRNA from 1 species